rnacentral:lncRNA from 1 species
AAGCUGAAGACCACAGCCUUGACCAGCUAGAAGGAGAUGGAGAGAGAGCAGGGUGCCAUGCUCAGGAAGGGGCAUCAUGAUGUGUGCCAAAGACGAAUGUCAUUGGAGCGGUGUGGGAUGGGCUCUCUGAAGGAGACAGGUGGAGCCCACUGUCACCACUCUUCAGUCCUGCCAGUUCACCUCAUCACCUUAUAAAUCCUAAAGACACAAGGCUAA